GACGAACGCUGGCGGCGUGCUUAACACAUGCAAGUCGAACGGAAAGGCCCUGCUUUUGUGGGGUGCUCGAGUGGCGAACGGGUGAGUAACACGUGAGUAACCUGCCCUUGACUUUGGGAUAACUUCAGGAAACUGGGGCUAAUACCGGAUAGGAGCUCCUGCUGCAUGGUGGGGGUUGGAAAGUUUCGGCGGUUGGGGAUGGACUGGCGGCUUAUCAGCUUGUUGGGGGGGUAGUGGCUUACCAAGGCUUUGACGGGUAGCCGGCCUGGGAGGGUGACCGGCCACAUUGGGACUGAGAUACGGCCCAGACUCCUCCGGGAGGCAGCGGUGGGGAAUAUUGCACAAUGGGCGGAAGCCUGAUGCAGCAACGCCGCGUGCGGGAUGCCGGCCUUCGGGUUGUAAACCGCUUUCGCCUGUGACGAAGCGUGAGUGACGGUAAUGGGUAAAGAAGCACCGGCUAACUACGUG
rnacentral:rRNA from 1 species